UACGUAGGGGGCAAGCGUUGUCCGGAUUUAUUGGGCGUAAAGAGCGUGUAGGCGGCCAGGUAGGUCUGCUGUGAAAACUCGAGGCUCAACCUCGAGAUGUCGGCGGAAACCAUCUGGCUAGAGUCCGGAAGAGGAGAAUGGAAUUCCCGGUGUAGCGGUGAAAUGCGCAGAUAUCGGGAAGAACACCCGUGGCGAAGGCGGCCAGCUGGGCCAGGUCCGACACUGAGGCGCGAAAGCGUGGGGAGCAAACAGG
rnacentral:rRNA from 1 species